GAGCGAAACAGGAGGAAGCCAGCUCUGUGCCUGGAGGGGACCCGCCGCCAUCUCAGGUCUCUUGGCUUUGCCAGGGCCCACCGGAGAAAACUGACGCCCCGUUUCUAUAAUCCUUAUGGGAGACCAACCUUGUGCCUCCGGGAGAUCCACUCUCCCACCUGGAAACGCACGGGAAGCCAAGCCUCCAAAAAAGCGCUGCCUCCUCGCUCCGCGUUGGGAUUAUCCGGAAGGAACUCCCAACGGAGGUAGUACCACUCUACCCUCCGCACCUCCUCCUGCAUCAGCCGGCCUGAAGUCGCACCCUCCUCCUCCGGAGAAGUAGAGAAAUACAUUUCUCCCACCCUAAACCAGUCUUUGAGCGAUUGCAGUAUGACUCCAUUUCCCUGGUGCAUUCAUAUAAUAGUUCACCUGGUGAAAAUAAUGAAGACUAUUUACAAUGCUACCCUGCUUUUUCUGAUGUCCUACACCUGGAAGUUGUGCUUUUUGAGACACUCUAAAUGUCAAAUCCUGAACCACUAGGAGCCUCGGCAAGUUGUCCCCUGUUGCCUUUUUUUCCAGUCCAGCCAUGUGAACACAACGAUCUGGAUUUCGAUGAUCUAAAUGUGUAAUCCUGAGCAAGGUAGGAGCCAAGUAAAGUUGUUCCUGUUGCAUAUCCUUUCAGUCCAGCCAUGUGAACACAAUGAUCAUAUUUCAGUGUGUACAGGCAGGCUCUCUCUGCCACAUGUCUUUUGCCCACUCUCACUCACACAGGCAGGCUCCCAGAGACCACACAUGCACGCACUCACGAGGGACUCCUACAACCAGAAACAUAAUCACAAACACAUGUGCACAUGGAAACACAUGCACACGGAGACACAUACACACACAGAAACAAAUGCACACAAAGACACACCCACAUGCAGACACACACACACACAUAGACAUACACACACUCACAAGAAACCUUACACGGCACAAGGUUGCGGGUGGACGCAUUCUCCCACACAGAUACAAACACACAGACUGCCACAAGCAGGAGACUGUUUGGACGAAUGGAGGCAAGAUGGCGCAGUUCCGGGUUCUUCACCGUCAACUUUCCCGUGCCCGGGAGAGACACGGGUCGACUGCGCAGGCGCAACCCGACUUCCGACGGAGACGAACCGGAACCCGCCUAGCCACGCCUACCGCCCCGCCCCCGACCCGCCUAUGUCCCGCCCACUGCCCUCCCACUCCCGGGCCCAGGACAUAAAAGCCGCUCCCGGAGGGCGUGCAGAGCUAACUUCCUUGGCCCCUACUCAUGCGCGGGACCCAGGAACCUCGUCCGAGAACGCCUGAGCGAACUUCCUUGGCCCCUCCUCGUACGCGGGACCCGGGAACCUCAUCCGAGAACGCCGGAGCGAACUUCCUCGGCCCCUCCUCCU